rnacentral:lncRNA from 1 species
GGCAAUUACACCAGGUGUGUACAUCAGAGCAUGAGAAGCUUGAGGCCAUCUCAGAAUUCUGCCUACCACAAUCCACCCUCAAGGCCCUGAAGAUUUACAGCGUUUCUUAUAAAAGCAUGGCUAAACCGAAACCUGGAAAAACUCAGAGAGGUCUUGGGUGUUGGUGUGUUGGAGAGAGGAUGAGAGAGAAGGAAGCAGAUUUUGUUGAAGCAAUGAUCUGAAUCUUUGACCUCUGAGGUUUCUGGCAAAAUCUGUGGACACUCCAGCAGGCUGCAUACAUCACAUAUACAACAGGUAUAACCUGGAGUGUAACUUAUGUAGUAGACAAGCCAUCAUCUUCUUUCAGCUUCAAAUUUGGAUUCUCCUGUACCUCAGGGGUACUCUAGGUAAGGCAGUUUAGUCCUGGGGUUAUUCAGGACAACAGACCUAAUCCCUUAUACAGGAAAAUCUGUUCCUAUCUUUUAAAGUCGUGCCAUGAAAUUAGACCAUCUUUCAAUAUACUGGCAAGUAAUUUAUACACACAUUGGAUGUAAAUGUGUGUGAAAAUCACAUUAUAGUCUUUUAAAAUUUUUUCAAUACUUAAAAAUAGUUUCUUGCUUUAAUCAUCCAAAAUGUACUAGAAAAAGGCUCGCUUUUUAAAGCAAAAUUACUUUUUAAAAUGCGGUAUUCCUAAGUAACAGACUUCAUGUUAAAAAAAAAAAUCCCUUUCUCUAUGUAUGUGGGACAAAUUUAUAAAAUGCUUUAUUCAAAACAGCUCUAACCCUCAUCUCUG